rnacentral:rRNA from 1 species
GAGUUUGAUCCUGGCUCAGGAUGAACGCUGGCGGCGUGGAUAAGGCAUGCAAGUCGAGUGGGUUUAGACCCACGGCGAACGAGGUAGUAACACGUAGGUACGCACCCUUUAGUCGGGCAUAACUAGCCGAAAGGUUAGAUAAUUCUCGAUAGUCUCUUCGGAGUAAAGAUUUAUCGCUAAAGGAGCGGCCUGCGGGAUAUCAGCUAGUUGGUAGGGUAACGGCCUACCAAGGCUAUGACGUCUAGGGGAGCUGAGAGGCUGACCCCCACCGAUGGUACUGAGACACGGACCAUACACCUACGGGUGGCCGCAGUCGAGAAUCUUCCGCAAUGGGCGAAAGCCUGACGGAGCGACGCCGCGUGAUUGAUGAAGUCUUUCGGGAUGUAAAGAUCUUUUAUGAGGGAGAAAGUUUACUGAUAGUACCUCAUGAAUAAGGGGUUGCUAAACUCGUGCCAGCAGCAGCGGUAAUACGAGUGCCCCAAGCGUUAUCCGGAAUCAUUGGGCGUAAAGGGUGUGUAGGCGGCUGUGUUAGUCUCAUGUUAAAACUCCCGGCUUAACCGGGAAACCGCAUGGGAAACGGCACAACUAGAGGAUGCGAGAGGUCUGUGGAACUCAUGGAGUAGGGGUGAAAUCCGUUGAUAUCAUGGGGAACACCGAAAGCGAAGGCAACAGACUGGCGCACUCCUGACGCUGAAACACGAAAGCGUGGGUAGCGAAUGGGAUUAGAUACCCCAGUAGUCCACGCCCUAAACGAUGAUCACUAGCUUUUCGGAGUAUCGACCCUCUGAGAGGCGAAGCUAACGCGUUAAGUGAUCCGCCUGGGUAGUACGGCCGCAAGGCUAAAACUCAAAGGAAUAGACGGGGACUUGCACAAGCAGUGGAUUAUGUGGUUUAAUUCGACGAUAAACGAAGAACCUUACCAAGGUUAGAAAUCCAGUUGAAGACACGAGGAAACUUGUGUCGUCCGCAAGGACAAUUGGACAGGUGAUGCAUGGCCGUCGUCAGUUCGUGGUUUGAAUUGUUCCCUUAAGUGGGGUAACGAACGCAACCCUCGUUGCCAGUUUUAAAUGUCUGGCGAGACUGCCCCGUAUUCUGCGCACGAGCUCUUAUGGAAGAGUUCGCGAAUAGGAUACGGGGAGGAAGGUGAGGAUGACGCCAGGUCAGCAUGUCCCUCUGAUACCUUGGGCUACACACAUAAUACAAUGGCCGGUACAGCAGGUUGCGACGGAGUAAUCCUGAGCCAAUCCUUAUAAAGCCGGCCUCAGUUCGGAUUGAGGGCUGCAACUCGACCUCAUGAAGCUGGAAUUGCUAGUAAUCGCGGGUCAGCCAUACCGCGGUGAAUACGUUCUCAAGUCUUGUACACACCGCCCUC